rnacentral:rRNA from 1 species
AGUGAACGCUGGCGGUAUGCCUAACACAUGCAAGUCGAACGGCAGCACAGUAAGAGCUUGCUCUUACGGGUGGCGAGUGGCGGACGGGUGAGGAAUACAUCGGAAUCUACUUUUUCGUGGGGGAUAACGUAGGGAAACUUACGCUAAUACAGCAUACGAUCUACGGGUGAAAGCAGGGGAUCUUCGCACCUUGCGCGAUUGAAUGAGCCGAUGUCGGAUUAGCUAGUUGGCGGGGUAAAGGCCCACCAAGGCGACGAUCCGUAGCUGGUCUGAGAGGAUGAUCGGCCACACUGGAACUGAGACACGGUCCAGACUCCUACGGGAGGCAGCAGUGGGGAAUAUUGGGCAAUGGGCGCAAGCCUGAUCCAGCCAUACCGCGUGGGUGAAGAAGGCCUUCGGGUUGUAAAGCCCUUUUGUUGGGAAAGAAAAGCAGCAGGUUAAUACCCCGCUGUUCUGACGGUACCCAAAGAAUAAGCACCGGCUAACUUCGUG